rnacentral:rRNA from 1 species
UACGUAGGGGGCAAGCGUUGUCCGGAUUUAUUGGGCGUAAAGAGCGUGUAGGCGGCCAUACAGGUCAGCUGUGAAACUCGAGGCUCAACCUCGAGACGUCGGUUGAAACCGUAUGGCUAGAGUCCGGAAGAGGAGAGUGGAAUUCCCGGUGUAGCGGUGAAAUGCGCAGAUAUCGGGAAGAACACCCGUGGCGAAGGCGGCUCUCUGGGACGGUACUGACGCUGAGGAGCGAAAGCAUGGGAGCGAACAGG